rnacentral:rRNA from 1 species
GACGAACGCUGGCGGCGUGCUUAACACAUGCAAGUCGAACGGUAAGGCCCUUCGGGGUACACGAGUGGCGAACGGGUGAGUAACACGUGGGUGAUCUGCCCUGCACUUCGGGAUAAGCCUGGGAAACUGGGUCUAACACCGGAUAGGACUCCUGCCUGCCUGGGUGGGGGUGGAAAGCUUUUGCGGUGUGGGAUGGGCCCGCGGCCUAUCAGCUAGUUGGUGGGGUGGUGGCCUACCAAGGCGACGACGGGUAGCCGGCCUGAGAGGGUGACCGGCCCCACAGGGACGGAGAUACGGCCCAGACUCCUGCGGGAGGCAGCAGUGGGGAAUAUUGCACAAUGGGCGCAAGCCUGAUGCAGCGACGCCGCGUGAGGGAUGACGGCCUUCGGGUUGUAAACCUCUUUCAGCACAGACGAAGCGCAAGUGACGGUAUGUGCAGAAGAAGGACCGGCCAACUACGUGCCAGCCGCCGCGGUAAAAC